rnacentral:lncRNA from 1 species
GGGAGCAGGCGCUGGGCACUGGAGGGGCCAUGGAUGGGCUCGGCCGCCGCCUCCGAGCCAGCCUGAGACUGAAACGCGGCCAGCGGGGUUAGUGCGGGCCACAACGCGCGGGGGAAAGAGGGCGUGGGGUCCCCCGAACUAUAGGCUCGGUGCGGCACUGGGGUCAGGAACGUGGAUCAGUUUGGGCGGGAUCUGUGAGGGCUGGGCAGGAGGCAGGUGAGCUCAAGGGAACAGGUAGAGGUCAACAAGGGGACAGAUCUGCUGGGUCAAGGGGGAACCUGGUGGCCAGAAACCUACAAAGGUUGUGGGGCCCCAAGGGCCACGUGUCCUUCUAUCCAGGAAGCUUGUGGUGCAGCCACUUUGUGGCUAAAGAGCUUAGGCCGUCAAGCCCUCCGGGAGGCGCUUCCCUUCCCUACUUAACUGGAUUUUUUUUUUCAGUUCCCGAGGAGAUCCAGCUUGUCCCUGCCUUGCAGAUAACCGUGCCACAAAAACUGGUCUCCCCAAGCCCUUAGCACUGACCUCAGUAGAGCAGCCAGGUAGAUCAGCUCAGCUGUUUCCUCAAUCCGGACCUUGAGUUCUGACCUGUAAAAUUGGAAUCUUUUCCCUGUCCAGGGUGGAUUAUAGGGAUGAAAUUAGAUGUGCCAUCCGUUUCCUUUCUCCUUAUCUGGAGCACUGGGACUUGGAAGAAGGGCAAUUAGGAUUCAUUAAUGUAUCCAUUCAUUCAACAAACAUCUGUUGCUGUUUAUGUCUGGCCAGUGCUAUGGCUGAGCUGUCACCCUCGGGUUUGUUCAGACAGAGCCCAUGCUUCUGG